CACCUGUAAGCUGGAACUUCCUUACGGCAGCCUGUCACUUCCACGGGACCCACCAGCUUAAAUGCCGGCAGCCCUGGGACUUCUGGCCUCACAAUGGUUGAGGAGAAGGGCAUGCUCAGGCCAGCCCAUUAGCCCAGGAGGAGGACAAGAAACACACGGAGCAGACACAAGCCACCUCACCAACCCAGCCAAGGCUGUCCUGAAUUAGCAACCCUGACACGUGUGAGCAAGUCCAACGGACACCGGAAGAUCCACCUAGUCAAGCCCAACCAAGACUGGCAGAGCUGCCAAGCUGACCACUUAAGGCGCAUGAGGAAUAAACACUCGUUGCUGCAUGCAACCGCUUGUAAGGAGUUGAGAAUUUAUCCUGAAGGUGACAGCGGGCCAGGGAAGAAAUUUCAGAAUGCAAGACCAUCAAGGCAAGGAUGUUAAUUUUCUUCAAUGAGGUAUCUCCUGUGUCUGGAAUGAUAUAAGGCUCAUCCCAGAUGAUGAAUGAACAGUGAAUCUGUGGAGCUUCAGCAUCCUCACCUAAGAUGGGAAUAGCUAUGCCCAUCUCCCGAGAUUAUUGUGGAGAUCAGAUGUUAUGCGUACAAAGCACAGGGCAUGAUACCUGAUACACAUCUUGCUCUAUAAAGACUGGUAGAGGAGUGUGUUGUUAUUGUUAUCAAUAUCAUUAUCAUUUUUAUCCAUAAAAUGAAGAUUAUAAAACCUAAGUUGCUGUGAAUAUUGAGACAAAGUAUGAAAAGUACCUGGCAACUGGAGAUGUUUAAUAAACUGGAAUUUAUUUU
rnacentral:lncRNA from 1 species